rnacentral:sRNA from 1 species
AGCAUACGGACGUCGUGGUCGGUUCCGUGAACGCUCGUUGUUUGUUUCGGCAAGUAAUAUCGUUUUACAAAAUAGCUCAACAAAUAUAAAAUAUAUACAUAUACCUACAUACAUAUGUGUGCAUUGCUUAAGAUUAUCAAGAAAUCAUAAUAAAGAAAAUCGAAAGAGAAGUCAGCUACAAAAGCAAAUAAGAAAUGUACGAAAAAAUGCAUCGCUAGAAUGAGGUGAAUACUCGAAAUGCAAAUAUAUAAGAAUAUAUGUGAAACCGAAAAAAAAAUUAAAAACCUUAAGAGGAACGGGCGAUGAUAACAGCAAAUCAACUGCAUCACAUGUAACUCGGAGAAGAGCCAAAGCACAACAAUAAAGCAAUAAACUUCGACCAACAAAACAAUAACAACAACAACAUUGACGACGAAAAUCAUUCCAGCAAAUACAGAUAUAAGAGAGGGACGAAGAGCGAGAGAGAGAGUAAACAAGAGUGAUGAUUACCUAACGGGCAAUCGCCCCUAGUUCAAUACUUGAUAUACAAAAAUAACCUAAAUUUAAUUGAGAAACAACAUGGAUUUAAGAGAUUUACCGGUUGAAAUGUUUUACUGGAAGUCAGCUGCUAGUAAGAGCCUAGAGCUGAACCGGAUUUCGGAUAGAAUCAAAUUUGUAACGUUAAGGCAAACACGUUGCUGUGCCACAAAAACAAAGCCAACGAGAACAGGUGACGUAUUAGCAACAACAAUAGCAACGCCAUUGUCAAAAACGCCA